AGUGAACGCUGGCGGUAGGCCUAACACAUGCAAGUCGAACGGCAGCACAGUAAGAGCUUGCUCUUACGGGUGGCGAGUGGCGGACGGGUGAGGAAUACAUCGGAAUCUACUUUUUCGUGGGGGAUAACGUAGGGAAACUUACGCUAAUACCGCAUACGACCUACGGGUGAAAGCAGGGGAUCUUCGGACCUUGCGCGAUUGAAUGAGCCGAUGUCGGAUUAGCUAGUUGGCGGGGUAAAUGCCCACCAAGGCGCCGAUCCGUAGCUGGUCUGAGAGGAUGAUCAGCGACACUGGAACUGAGACACGGUCCAUACUCCUACGGGAGGCAGCAGUGGGGAAUAUUGGACAAUGGGCGCAAGCCUGAUCCAGCCAUACCGCGUGGGUGAAGAAGGCCUUCGGGUUGUAAAGCCCUUUUGUUGGGAAAGAAAAGCAGCAGGUUAAUACCCCGCUGUUCUGACGGUACCCAAAGAAUAAGCACCGGCUAACUUCGUG
rnacentral:rRNA from 1 species